rnacentral:rRNA from 1 species
UACGUAGGGUGCAAGCGUUUGUCCGGAAUUAUUGGGCGUAAAGGGCGCGCAGGCGGUACGGCACGUCCGUUGUGAAAUCGCUCGGCUCAACUGGGCGGGGUCAGCGGAUACGGCCGCACUUGAGCAAGCUAAGGGGCAAUGGAAUUCCCGGUGUAGUGGUGGAAUGCGCAGAUAUCAGGAGGAACACCGAUGGCGAAGGCAGGUCUCUGGGCCGAUACUGACGCUGAGGAGCGAAAGCGUGGGGAGCGAACAGG